AAAAAAAAAAAAACACACAACAUAAAUCAGUUUACUAUGCUUUGUUUUUUUGGUGUUUUUUUUUUUGCAGCAUUUUGUGUUUUGCACGUUUAAUAAUCACUUUAAGAAACACUUGUAUUUAAAGGUUCUUUUAUCUGUUUUGCCAUAUGUUAAGUUAUUGUAAACCCCAGAAAGUCAAAUAUCGAUUCAUGCCACACAAGCUACUGUUGUCUUGAGAGGUUACAAACCACUAAAGCAGAUUUAUCUUCAAUUUGGAAAAGUGAUUGGGGGAGAGAUCAGAAAGUAUAACUGGAUUAUUAUUUAUUACAUUUAACUAUGUGUUUAAGGCACAGUAGGUCAUCUCUAAAUAAUAUGACAUUUUUAUAUUGUCUAUUUACCCUAAA